rnacentral:rRNA from 1 species
CCCUUAGAUGUUCUGGGCCGCACGCGCGCUACACUGACGAUGGCAACGAGUUUUUCCUUCGCCGAAAGGUGUGGGUAAUCUUUUGAAACAUCGUCGUGCUGGGGAUAGAUCAUUGCAAUUUUUGAUCUUGAACGAGGAAUUCCUAGUAAGCGCGAGUCAUCAGCUCGCGUUGAUUACGUCCCUGCCCUUUGUACACACCGCCCGUCGCUACUACCGAUUGAAUGGUUUAGUGAGGACUCCUGAUUGGCGCCGUCGUCCCGGCAACGGAGCAGCGGACUGCCGAAAAGUUGUUCAAACUUGAUCAUUUAGAGGAAGUAAAAGUCGUAACA